CCAGAAUUGUAAGCCAGAGGUGGAGCCAGGGAUUAGUACUGGAGAGAUGGAAGCUGAAUGGCAGAACAAGAAGGUCAGCCAUAGUUGUAAGCAAGCAGCAGAACCACAGACUGAAGCCAGAAGUCUGGAGUUGGAGGGAAGAGGAGUGGAAGCAGGGACAUACAUAGCUGAAGGGAAUCUAGCUGAUAAUUGGAAAAGCGUAUGAACAGCCAUUUCAAAUCUACAUGCCAUCGAGCAUAACAGAGUUGGAACAUAGACCAAAGAAAUGAAAGGCAGAAUCAAAGGAAGUAGCAACACACACAAGAUAAUAUGAAGAGACCUUUCUCAGAAAGAGAUAAAUAAUGAAAUAUAAAGACUUUGGGAUGACUGAUACCAUUGUUAUAACUCAAACUGCACUUCCAAAGAAAAUGACCAGGGGAAGCCGACAUUUAAUGUAGACAUUAAACCUGCACAAUACUAAAAUAGAUGUCAGAAGAAUCCAG